GGAUGAACGCUAGCGGCAGGCCUAACACAUGCAAGUCGAACGGUAACAUGAGAGCUUGCUCUUGAUGACGAGUGGCGCACGGGUGCGUAACGCGUAUGCAACCUACCUUUUACUGAGGGAUAGCCCAGAGAAAUUUGGAUUAAUACCUCAUAGUAUCAUAAGUGUUCAUGCAUUAAUGAUUAAAACUUCGGUGGUAAAAGAUGGGCAUGCGUAAGAUUAGCUAGUUGGUAAGGUAACGGCUUACCAAGGCUACGAUCUUUAGGGGGCCUGAGAGGGUGGUCCCCCACACUGGUACUGAGACACGGACCAGACUCCUACGGGAGGCAGCAGUGAGGAAUAUUGGUCAAUGGACGAAAGUCUGAACCAGCCAUGCCGCGUGCAGGAAGACGGCCCUAUGGGUUGUAAACUGCUUUUAUAUGGGAAGAAACCCUCGAACGUGUUCGAGGCUGACGGUACCAUUUGAAUAAGCACCGGCUAACUCCGUGCCAGCAGCCGCGGUAAUACGGAGGGUGCAAGCGUUAUCCGGAUUUAUUGGGUUUAAAGGGUCCGUAGGCGGAUUUUUAAGUCAGUGGUGAAAGCCUGCAGCUCAACUGCAGAACUGCCAUUGAUACUGGGAAUCUUGAGUAUAUUUGAAGUGGGCGGAAUGUGUCAUGUAGCGGUGAAAUGCAUAGAUAUGACACAGAACACCGAUUGCGAAGGCAGCUCACUAAACUAUAACUGACGCUGAGGGACGAAAGCGUGGGGAGCGAACAGGAUUAGAUACCCUGGUAGUCCACGCCGUAAACGAUCAUCACUCGCUGUUGGCGAUACACUGUCAGCGGCCAAGCGAAAGCAUUAAGUGAUGCACCUGGGAAGUACGGUCGCAAGAUUGAAACUCAAAGGAAUUGACGGGGGCCCGCACAAGCGGUGGAGCAUGUGGUUUAAUUCGAUGAUACGCGAGGAACCUUACCAGGGCUUAAAUGCAGAAUGACAGGAUGGGAAACCAUUUUUUCUUCGGACAUUUUGCAAGGUGCUGCAUGGUUGUCGUCAGCUCGUGCCGUGAGGUGUCAGGUUAAGUCCUAUAACGAGCGCAACCCCUAUCUUAGUUGCCAGCGGGUUAAGCCGGGGACUCUAAAGAAACUGCCAGCGCAAGCUGUGAGGAAGGUGGGGAUGACGUCAAAUCAUCACGGCCCUUACGUCCUGGGCUACACACGUGCUACAAUGGUAGAGACAGAGGGCAGCCACCACGCGAGUGGGAGCGAAUCCUUAAACUCUAUCUCAGUUCGGAUUGGAGUCUGCAACUCGACUCCAUGAAGCUGGAAUCGCUAGUAAUCGCGCAUCAGCCAUGGCGCGGUGAAUACGUUCCCGGGCCUUGUACUCACCGCCC
rnacentral:rRNA from 1 species